UACGUAGGGUGCAAGCGUUAAUCGGAAUUACUGGGCGUAAAGCGUGCGCAGGCGGUGAUGUAAGACAGGUGUGAAAUCCCCGGGCUUAACCUGGGAACUGCAUUUGAAACUGGCAGGCUUGAGUCUUGUAGAGGGGGGUAGAAUUCCAGGUGUAGCGGUGAAAUGCGUAGAGAUCUGGAGGAAUACCGGUGGCGAAGGCGGCCCCCUGGACAACACCUGACACUGAGGCACGAAAGCUAGGGGAGCAAACAGG
rnacentral:rRNA from 1 species